GCACUCUUAACGGGAAUAAAUGGUUUAUCUUUUCAGAUCUGUAUAUUGCUGCACAAACAUACCUCUGGGAAAAGGCUGCAAAAUUUCUGGCUACCUUCUAAAUCCCACACUGAAGACUCACUUGGAAAGAAGAAAAGACACAAAAUGUUGUUCUGGCUCUCUAAGUGAAGGUUGUGUAUUCUGCACCUCCAAGGUCAGACAAACAUCCUUCCAAAGCCUCCAGCUCCGAUUCUGUUUCUUCAAGCACAAGAGCUCACAGGAAAGUGCAUAGGAAUGGAGAUUGAUUUAAGCUCUACUGCACAAGGAGGGGAGAAAUCUGGUGGAUGGUCCCACAAAUGUCAUUGACAAGUGAAUUAACCAAGAAGAGUUUGUCUUCAGGACAGCCACAUCGGCUGGAGCUUGAAAAUUCCUCCUAGUGACCUGCAUCAAAGUAGUGCUCAAGUUGCUCCAAGGACCUCUUCUCCAUCUGGACUCCUAAAUCCAUCUGCAUCAUGUCCUGCAAAAGCCAGGAAAAGCAAGAAAAAUGUGGGGACAAAUGCACAUCCCUGAUAUAUCAAACUUCCCUGGAGAUCAAGGGCCAGAGCACAGUGUGAUUCCCCAGCCUCAGGGUUCCUCUGAAGUAGAACAGAGCAACAGGUGGUGGCUGUUAAUGUGCUGAAUGUGGCUUCCCUCUGUGUCCGGCCAUGGAAAACAAAGCAAGCGAGCGGAUCCAUGCCAAACACUUUGCAAGCAUGGAGCUUACACAAUUGGGCUCCACCCACAUGCCUCACAUGGGAAUUUUCUCCCUCACCAGCUGGGUUAAGAUCACAAGAUGGGAAAAAGGAGAGGGGGUGAAAAAAAAAGAGAGCUGGAGUUGUUUUCUUUCCAUUGUGGCUCCUCAGCUGAAAGUUCCUUUGCAAGAGAAUAAUAGAAUAAAGAUGAGAGCGAACACUGCUGAUGGCUCAAAAUCUGGCACCAAAGUUUAUUUUUUCUAAGCAGUCUGAGCCUGAACAGUCUUGUCAGACAAUGUCAACAGAGGUGAAAAAAAAUGACGAAAAUCAUUGAAUCUAGUUCGGCUCAAAAAUGAAAUAAAUGCACCAGACAGGGUAAGUAUACGGCCAUUAAAAAUGGCAUAACCCUGACUGAAAACUGAACACCCUCAUAUGUAUUUUGUACUCUCAAAGGCUUAUCAUGCCAGCUGUAUUUUUGAGUGAGCUAAGUGUCUACUUGUAUGAAAUGAAUGUGAGUAGGCACACAUGAGCUUUCUCAUCAGUGUCCAUACUCAUAGCCGGGCACGUAUUGAAGUCUCUCAACUCAGCUUGUUACAGCUAUCAUGGUGCAGAGCCUGAAAAUGCCUCUUCUCCGAGACCAGACAAACGCGAACUGACAAGCACUGUAUUUUGCCCUUAAGGCUCCUGUCCAUGGUGAUGCAUCGUCAGUUAUUCUCUGUAAAAAUCUCUGCCCCCCCACCCCACGUGUGCUUGCCUCUUUCCUUAGUGUUUUGCCUAAUUUGGAAGCAGGUAUAAUUCAUGGGAAACACUGACUCCGCUCCAGCACCGAUGUCUUCAUGCUCAGGAGGAAGAUACGUGGGAUCAGUAAAAGGCAGGUAGGAUUUGAGAGCCCCAGCCUUAGAAAAAAAGGGAUAGAGACCCACAGCAUGUUGGUGCUGCUCUGUGUGCCUCACCCAUGGAAAUCAAUUUCCUGUUGAAUGGUGCCUGUAGUCAAGAACUGGAUGCUCAAAGUCCCAUUGUAGCCUGACACAGUGGAAAUAAAACCCGAGGACAAUACAGAUGCUGAUGUCUUUACUUGCUUUGAUAACAAUGACACCAGUAAACAAUGAUGUUUAAGUGCACUUGCAUGGUUCUUAAAUUAAAAACAAGAUAGCCAAGGGCAGUGAGAAGUCGCUAGCAUUCCUGAGACUGGCACAGAGAAAGGCCUCUUACAUACUUCAAGCUGGAAACAAACCCCACAGUGUGAGGAUGACCACGGUACUUUUGUAAGGGGGUGACAGCUUCCAGGCUCUCAAUUCUGUUGUGAUUCCCAUUCCACAAAACUCCAUUUACAUAGUCACAAGAGCAGCAGGGCUUAAGGCUAGGGCACUACAACAUGUUUGAUGCAGGCACUGAGACCUGUUCUCUGUGGGUGCUUCAGAAGAGAAAGAAAAUGGAGUGCUAAAAAACCUCUCCCUGCUUUCCUCCUUUCAUUUUACAGAAAAAGAAAAGGCUAAAGGCUCUGCUGGAGUGACUCCAUUGACUCCCAUGGCUUCCAUGGGCUUCAAUUUGCAAAACAGACAGAAGAAGAGAAAACCCUUCCUCCACCUCUUUCCCCUGCAAUUCUUGAAAGUGACAUCUGUGCAGUGCUGCAGGAAAGAUUACACAUCUUAGUCUUAUUUUUUUUUUACCCUGCCACUCCCAAUUUACUCAUGCCCACUAUCAUAAUAUUAAUUUUUAGCAAGGAGGAGCAAGGAGUGCUCCCCUGGGCCAGUGUGGUUCUCUGGCACAGAGUAGCCACUUGAGGGGAGAGGGAGGCCAGUGGGGUAGAGGUGGCUGCUGCUCCAACAGGAUCUGCCUUUCUCACUAAGGACCGGGGGCAUCUGUCCCACGAGUCUGUCCAGCAGAGUCCCAGCACAUCCCUCAGUACCCAAAGCUGGCACUGCUUUGUCUUGCCACCACCUCUUCUUCCCACCCCCGGACUCUUUGACCCACCUCCCCUGGACCCAUUUCCCUUCUCGAAAAAUCCAUCCAUUUAUUUCCAAUUACAAACCACACCACAUAACACAAACAUAAUUGCUUAAAAGUUGUUCCACAUUUGAUUCACAUGCAUUAUGCAUCCUGUAAAUUAUGUACGACCUCCUCUUUUUUUUUUUUUUUUUGAGGAAUAUUAUUGUAGUUCCCUCUCUUGAUAUAAGGAUAGUUUUACAGUUAGAAUCAAAACCUAAUUCAUUUACAAUACCUGUCUCCUGAGGAUCACAACAUAAUGACAUUGGAACAGUAAAAAGACUACGCAGGGUUUUCACUUCAAUCAUAGCUGUUCUAUAAAGAAAAGAAACUUACAGAAACCACCAAGAGAGAUGGUGAUUUAUAUCCAGUAGGAUACAAUAUAGCUGAAGAUGACUUUCUUGCUUAAACAAGGAAGGAAAAAAUGAACUCAUAUGUAUGAUGUAAAUAGACUUAACCAUGGGUGGCUGUGGUUUACUAUAAAUAUUCAAUUCAUUAUGGCUGCAGAGACGUACAGCUCCUACUGCGUGUUGGUGUUCUCGCCUGUAUCUGUCACUUGCUCAUGUUUGUCAUAAGCCAGAACCCUCUUUUAUUUUAACACCCUCCCCCUUUUUUUUUUUUCCACUGGUCCAGGAAUCAACACAUUUGGGAAUUUUUUUAAAAAGCUUUGGACCUCUUAAUGGUAAAGAUCUCAUUGAAGGAGGUUUUUCAGCAAUGGAAAAAAAACCAUGGGCCUGUGAGUUCGGAUCCCGUGAUGCAUCGCUCCUUGAAGUUACAUCUGCUCUUCUCUUUCAUCUCUCCUCUUGUUAACUGGGAGCUGUCACAUUAGGAGUUUUGGUGGAAGUGGCAUAAAGGAAGGAAAGAGAGACUGAUACACUGUGUCAUGACAAAACAGGCAGAGUAAGAGUGCCUUUGCAGUCACCUAUCAUCCAUGGACUACGUGCUGCUGGCCCAAACAUCAGGUCUGGUCUGAUUUUUUAAAUAUUCCUUUAAUAAAACAGUGCUAUUAUUUUUAUGUAGCUAUUAAUCACACUUCUCUUAGCAAUCCUUUUUAUUCCUUCUGCUCCAUGGAUGGUAAAGAUCCAAGCAAUGAAGUCAUGAUAGGUAGCUAUCAACAGAAAUCACUAAAGAAGUAAAGUCUAAGGCUGACCUCCUGUUUGGUGGAAAAGCAUAGAGUGCAGCAUGUGAAGCAACGUGCUGCUAUCUGAGAGCAUACACUUCUGCAGGCAAGGAGAGAUGUGGGUGGACAUGGAAAGUUGUGUGCAUGUGAAUCCAUGCACAUAUGUGCACACAAACUGUUUUUCAUGAUUGAGUGUUGCCAGAUGCUCUUUGGCUAUGACACCUCCUCACCAGCAAUCCAUGCAGCAGUGCUGGCAUGGACUCUGGAGGGCCAUUCGUGUGUUCUGCCAGGGGGUGACAAUGUGCCAAAGCAGAGACCAAGCCAGUGAGUGAAGGAGAUGAUUAAAAUGGGAAUUAUGAAACUUGCUUCUUGAUAAUGUCAGCCCUGGCCUGGUGCUUAACAUUUGGAGGUGCUUGGGAAAACUUGGGUGUUUUGGUACAAGCAAAGACUUUCACUUUUCACUCCCCAUCAGAAUUUUAUUUUCAUUAUCAGUCCAGAGAACUCCACCCAGGAAUGAGGCUUUUUAGAUUAACCGUGGUUGAACAGGAAACAUGG